GCUAAGCCAUCAAGCCUGUUGUUGUAUUUCAAGCCUUUCACAUCAGCCAUAUCAGCCACAGCUGAUGACCAAACUCGACAUCAACAUGAAGGCAGGCAGAUAUAGAAGAAGUGUCCUGUACCUCCCACCACCGCAACCUCUGACGACUCAGGCUAACACACCAUCAUCAACACCACCGCCUCUCAGCCUUCCAGUGUGCUCGCUGUCUUCCCGAUUCUGAAAUAUGAUAUAUGCAACUAUAUAAUGAACUCGAGAAAAAGCUAAAAAUUCCCUAAGAAGCGAAUAAUUCUAAGCCAACAGGUCUCAGCCUGCUGUGAAGAAACAAACAACUUAGGAGCCAAUAGACAGAAGCCAUCUUUGACUGAUUUAUAUAACACGUUGGAACCACAUCACCUAAAGAAGAUGCUCGGCAGUUUUCUGGCUAAAGGAACUCAGCAUGAGUAGCCACACUGAAUAAGUUCAUGGGCCUCAUGAAGAGUAAGCUCCAUCCAUCACUGCCAAUCGUGCAUCCCCACUCUGCCAGCUCCGUCUUCAUUAUCUGGUACUCCUCUUCUUCUCAUCGUUGUAUUAAUUGUGCUGAGUUUUUCUGAGUAUGAUGUAAUCAUCAACUAUUGAAGACAUACAUCUUCUAGGUGCACAUGCCAUGUUCAAUCAGUGCUGAAAGCCUUAGAGCAUUUCUUUCAGAAUGUAUAAAGCCUAAUUUCACCAGGAGUUUGCUGUUAUCCUAAGAAGCAAUAAAAAUUCCUCCCAUUUCCCCCUUAAUAGCAACAUUUCUGAUUUGUAACAUCUUCCCUGAAAAAUCAUAAGAAUAUAUCCAGUCUGUGGUUAUCAUAUGUGUAUCCAAAAAAUUAAUAUUUUUUUCAAUAUGCUCAAUUUCCCACUUCUUUUGAAUCUUAAUGUAUGCAUAUACUUUUAAAAUUGUUUAUUCCUUACAAGCGUAACACUUCUAAGAUAACUAUUAUGAACUUCUAUGAUAAUUCUAAUUGGCGUGAAAUAAUGAAACAAUAUUACAUGUGUUCUGAUUGAUUUUAGCAGAAGCUGAUCUGGCUAUUCAUUUAUCUUUACCCAUAUCAACCUACAAACACAGAAUGUUUUGGGAAGAAUAUGGGCUCUUAUACCAUUAGGCUACAUAUUCUCCAAAGUCAUGCAUUUUUGUAUUCAAAUAAUAUUUUUGACAAUCUUGUCUGAUAUCAAUAUUACAACCCCUGCUUUUUUAUUGCUUGUGUUUUCUUGGUAUAAUUUUGCCCACCCCUUUAACCUUUAUGAGUCUUUCUAUUUUAGAUAAAUCUCUUGUACAGAAUAAACUUAGAUUUUGAUUAAUGAGCAAAUCCAAAAGCAGAAGAUUUAAACACAGUUAUAAAUAUUUACUUGACCAAUGUGCUUAGUUUCAUAUUUUCAUGAGCUCUGAAGUUAUUUUCAUGUGUGUAUUAAAUAUAUCUUUU